GACGAACGCUGGCGGCGUGCUUAACACAUGCAAGUCGAGCGGUAAGGCCUUUCGGGGUACACGAGCGGCGAACGGGUGAGUAACACGUGGGUGAUCUGCUCUGCACUUCGGGAUAAGCCUGGGAAACUGGGUCUAAUACCGGAUAUGACCUCCUAUCGCAUGGUGGGUGGUGGAAAGAUUUAUCGGUGCAGGAUGGGCCCGCGGCCUAUCAGCUUGUUGGUGGGGUAAUGGCCUACCAAGGCGACGACGGGUAGCCGACCUGAGAGGGUGACCGGCCACACUGGGACUGAGACACGGCCCAGACUCCUACGGGAGGCAGCAGUGGGGAAUAUUGCACAAUGGGCGAAAGCCUGAUGCAGCGACGCCGCGUGAGGAAUGACGGCCUUCGGGUUGUAAACCUCUUUCAGCAGGGACGAAGCGCAAGUGACGGUACCUGCAGAAGAAGCACCGGCUAACUACGUGCCAGCAGCCGCAGUAACAC
rnacentral:rRNA from 1 species